rnacentral:rRNA from 1 species
UACGUAGGGUGCAAGCGUUUGUCCGGAAUUAUUGGGCGUAAAGAGCUCGUAGGCGGUUUGUCGCGUCUGCCGUGAAAGUCCGGGGCUCAACUCCGGAUCUGCGGUGGGUACGGGCAGACUAGAGUGCAGUAGGGGAGACUGGAAUUCCUGGUGUAGCGGUGAAAUGCGCAGAUAUCAGAGGAACACCGAUGGCGAAAGGCAGGUCUCUGGGCUGUAACUGACGUGAGGAGCGAAAGCAUGGGGAGCGAACAGG